rnacentral:rRNA from 1 species
UAAUACAGAGGGUGCAAGCGUUGCUCGGAUUUACUGGGCGUAAAGCGUACGCAGACGGCCGCGCAGGUCGGGUGUGAAAGCCCCGGGCUCAACCCGGGAACUGCACUCGAAACCAUGCGGCUCGAGGAUGGAAGAGGAGAGCGGAAUUCCCGGUGUAGAGGUGAAAUUCGUAGAUAUCGGGAGGAACACCAGUGGCGAAAGCGGCUCUCUGGCCCAUUUCUGACGUUCAGGUACGAAAGCGUGGGGAGCAAACAGGAUUAGAUACCCUGGUAGUCCACGCCGUAAACGAUGCAUGCUGGCUGUCGGAGGUAUUCACCCCCUCGGUAGCGAAGCCAACGCGUUAAGCAUGCCGCCUGGGGAGUACGGCCGCAAGGUUG